rnacentral:rRNA from 1 species
GGAUGAACGCUAGCGGCAGGCCUAACACAUGCAAGUCGAGGGAGAGGUUAUCUUCGGGUAACCAAAACCGGCGCACGGGGUGCGUAACGCGUAUACAAUCUGCCUUUUCACAUAGGGAUAGCCCGAAAGAAAUUUGGAUUAAUACCUAAUGGUAUAUAGGAGCGGCAUCGUUUUUAUAUUAAAGCUACGGUGGUGAAAGAUGAGUAUGCGUUCUAUUAGCUAGUUGGAGAGGUAACGGCUCCCCAAGGCGACGAUAGAUAGGGGUUCUGAGAGGGAUGUCCCCCACACUGGUACUGAGAUACGGACCAGACUCCUACGGGAGGCAGCAGUGAGGAAUAUUGGACAAUGGUCGGAAGACUGAUCCAGCCAUGCCGCGUGCAGGAUGAAGGUCCUAUGGAUUGUAAACUGCUUUUGUAAGGGAAGAAUAAGGAGUACGUGUACUUUGAUGACGGUACCUUACGAAUAAGCAUCGGCUAACUCCGUGCCAGCAGCCGCGGUAAUACGGAGGAUGCGAGCGUUAUCCGGAAUCAUUGGGUUUAAAGGGUCCGUAGGCGGGCUGAUAAGUCAGAGGUGAAAGCGCUUAGCUCAACUAAGCAACUGCCUUUGAAACUGUCAGUCUUGAAUGAUUGUGAAGUAGUUGGAAUGUGUAGUGUAGCGGUGAAAUGCUUAGAUAUUACACAGAACACCGAUAGCGAAGGCAUAUUACUAACAAUUUAUUGACGCUGAUGGACGAAAGCGUGGGGAGCGAACAGG